rnacentral:rRNA from 1 species
CGGCGAGUGAAGCGGCAACAGCUCAAAUUUGAAAUCUGGCCCUCGGGUCCGAGUUGUAAUUUGUAGAGGAUGCUUUUGGCGCGGUGCCUUCCGAGUUCCCUGGAACGGGACGCCUUAGAGGGUGAGAGCCCCGUACGGUUGGACACCAAGCCUCUGUAAAGCUCCUUCGACGAGUCGAGUAGUUUGGGAAUGCUGCUCUAAAUGGGAGGUAAAUUUCUUCUAAAGCUAAAUAUUGGCCAGAGACCGAUAGCGCACAAGUAGAGUGAUCGAAAGAUGAAAAGCACUUUGAAAAGAGGGUUAAAUAGCACGUGAAAUUGUUGAAAGGGAAGCGUUUGCGACCAGACCUUUUCCUAGCGGAUCAUCCGGUGUUCUCACCGGUGCACUUCGCUAAGUUUAGGCCAGCAUCGGUUUCUGUAGGGGGAUAAAAGCUCUGGGAACGUAGCUCCUCCGGGAGUGUUAUAGCCCUCUGCAUAAUACCUUUACGGGGACCGAGGACCGCGCAAGGAUGCUGGCGUAAUGGUCGUCAACGACCCGUCUUGAAACACGGACCAAGGAGUCGAACAUUUGUGCGAGUGUUUGGGUGUUAAACCCUCACGCGUAAUGAAAGUGAACGGAGGUGAGAGCCCUUACGGGUGCAUCAUCGACCGAUCCUGAUGUCUUCGGAUGGAUUUGAGUAAGAGCAUAACUGUUCGGACCCGAAAGAUGGUGAACUAUGCGUGGAUAGGGUGAAGCCAGAGGAAACUCUGGUGGAGGCUCGCAGCGGUUCUGACGUGCAAAUCGAUCGUCAAAUCUGCGCAUGGGGGCGAAAG